rnacentral:rRNA from 1 species
CGCGCAGGCGGCUCAUUUUGUCAGGCGUGAAAGCCCCGGGCUUAACCUGGGAACGGCGCUUGGGACGGGUGGGCUUGAGAUCGGGAGAGGAGAGUGGAAUUCCCAGUGUAGAGGUGAAAUUCGUAGAUAUUGGGAAGAACACCGGUGGCGAAGGCGGCUCUCUGGACCGAUACUGACGCUGAGGCGCGAAAGCGUGGGGAGCAAACAGGAUUAGAUACCCUGGUAGUCCACGCCGUAAACGAUGUGUGCUAGACGUUGGGGAGCCUAGCUCUUCGGUGUCGCAGCUAACGCGGUAAGCACACCGCCUGGGGAGUACGGCCGCAAGGUUAAA